CGUGUAGGCGGGUUUACAAGUCAGAUGUAAAAGGCUACGGCUCAACUGUAGAUAGUCAUCUGAAACUGUAGAUCUUGAGUUCGAGAGAGGGUAGUGGAAUUCCUGGUGUAGCGGUGAAAUGCGUAGAUAUCAGGAAGAACACCAGAUGCGAAGGCGGCUACCUGGCUCGUAACUGACGCUGAGGCGCGAAAGCGUGGGUAGCGAACA
rnacentral:rRNA from 1 species